AUGAGGACUCUGGAUUACUUGGAAUAAAGAAAGACAAGGAAGAGAAAGCUAAUUAACAGGCUGAAAAGAGGAGAAAAAUAUCACCGAUGGAUUGCACCAUGUAUGUACGUGUAUAUAUACAGUGAAGUUAGAAACUAAGAUCAUUAGCAAAGGAGAAAGGGAUAUACAAAAGCCGGGAGAAAGGCCGAGUCAUCUGCUAAGAAGUUGUUUAGUAAAUCAACAAAAGAUACUGUUUUCUAUGAAGUCACCCAUUUUGUUAAAGAAGAAAAUGCGACUUUUGCUGUAUAUUACGAAUUUACAGAGGAUUUAGAAGUUUAACACUGGCAACUACUCCACUCACCCUGUUGCUGAAGAUGAGGCUGAAAUAAAAAAGACUAUGUUUUAUUCUGUUAAUUUGUG
rnacentral:lncRNA from 1 species